UCAGGAAAUUUCUCCUUAGUUUUAGGUUGGAUCUUUCUUUAAUGAUCUUCUUCUCCUGCCCUGUGAUGCUCCUCAAGUACUGGAAGACAGAUGUACCAAUGAUGGACCCAGUUUGUGUUGGAACAGCUUUGAGGGUAAAAGAAGUUCAAGAAAAUAUUAAUGUCAUAGAAAUAGAGGAUUAAUUUUUAUAUUCUCACAAUCAGACAAUUUUUAGAUGAUUGCUCUUGACUUAAUAACCCAGAUACAUGAAAAGUUUUCACUGAAAGCAUUUUGCUUUUUUUUUUUUAAAAAAUAAAUUUUAUUAAGUUUUCCAGGUUAAAAUCAACAUGAGACAAAAACAUUGAUUAUACAUAAAAACAAAAACUAUACAUUCCCCUCCCUCCCUCCCCCAUUCAUAACACUAAACAUACAAACACGUCUAUCCCGGCAAUAAUAUUCCUGCCCUCGUUAAUAAAUAAUUAUGCCCACAGCAUUUUGUUUUUGAGGGUAUAUGUGAGAUUUAAAUGUUACACAUUGUGUUAUUGAUUUACUUCAUGCUAUCCAAAUACACUUGUUAGUAAAUUAGCAGCAAUCAAAAUCCCAAAUGAUCUUGAUUGUAUAACUCCAUCUCUUUUGAAAGUAGCCAAUUAUCCAAUGUACUCUGGAAACAGAACUUUUUAAUAGGAUUUCAUGAGGUGAUCAGCAGAUUUAAGGGGAACAACACUCACUCCCAUUCUACAUGAGUGAUGGCAGGCCAGAAACAGGAUUUGGGCACUGGCACUUUUUUUCAGUGGCUUUCUUUUUACUCAGAGCAAUAACUCCUGCAAUAGUUUCAAUGCACUCCUGAGUGCCAUCCAAGGCAAACAAAAGAGGAGAGAAGUGCUCUUGCUAGUCCUUCUGUUAUUUUCCUAGGAGGCCUCUCUCUGAGUUCUGGUAUUGAGUCUGUGUCUGCUCCAGCUACCCUGAAUGCUAUGCCUCUUCUACUUUUUACAGAGUAUACAGUGCAUGCUUAGGAGACCAGAACUGCUUGGAAUAGGCUGAAUGCCAGAAUUCAGAAUAACACCCCAGGAACAGCUCAAUGAUAUGUCCUUCUAGCCUUCUAAAAGUGUAUUAGAUCAACAUAAAAGAUAAGAAAGUUAGACUCCCUCAAACUCUGUAGUUCAAUAUUGGAAAAUAUUCAGAAUAAUAAAUCAGACAUGCUUCUUGUGCAACAGUUGCAUUUUAAAAGCCAUACUUCUGCUGCUCAAUCCUAUGCAUGAUAUAUCUAACUCAAUUUUAAAAUUCUAUCCUCACUGCCAGAUGUGUCCUUUCAUUUUCAGAUAUAAUCUGAUAACCAGUAGCAUCAAUAAGGAAAUGUGUGUGUGUGUGUGUGUGUGUGUGUGUGUGUGUGUGUGUGAUGUGCUAUGAAGAAAUCCUAUUAAAAAGUUCUGUUUCCAGAAUAUAUUGGAUAAUUAGCUGGUUUCAAGAGAGAUGAAGGUGUAUAGAACUAUAGAAAACCUAAAAAUAUUUAAUUUGACAAUUUUAUGAAUCAUUAUUAACUUUAAAAAAAUUGGACAUUUUUAAAGAGUUUGAGUUUGGAUAUCUGUACUAUUCUGAAUAUUCUAAGUUAUUGAUGUUGGUGACUAAAGUUAGUGUCUUUUAGUAUUUUCAACCAGGUUUAAAAUAUAAAUCACAUCUUCUUGAGAAGAAUCUAAUGAUCCUACAGUCUCAUACUUAGGAUUAAUAUUUUGAUAUGCUUGUAUGCUUGAGUGUAUGUGUGUGUGUAUGAGCAUCUUGCACAGAUGUUUACUUUACCUAUCUUCUCUGUGAAAACAGUUUUCUAGCUAAGAUUGAACCAUAGUCAUCUCCUCCUAAUUUUGUCCAAAACAUGUGCCUCCUUGAAAAUAGGAAAGAGUUUUCCAUUGAUUUCUUGGAGUGAGGAGGAAAUGGCACUAAAAUGUUAUGGUGUGCACCAGUCUAAUGCGAAGUGACAGAGUUGUGUAAUUUUUUCUAUUUUUUAAUUUUUUUUGUAAUCCAUAGACACUUUUUUCUACUGCUUGGAGAAUAAAGCCAUGCAUCAUGACAUCUGCUCCAAGUCUAUCCAGGAACUGCAGACAGUGAACAAUGUAAGGCCUUUUCAGUAAGAAAAAUAAGUUUCACCUGUGGAAUCUUAAAAGAGAAAAGAAUCAAGACAAUGGCAGAAUAUUCUGCUUUCUUUCAUAGAAAUCAUAGAAUCAUAGGGCUGGAAGGGGCCUUGGAUAUCUUCUAAUUCAUGCCCCUGCCGAAGGCAGAAGACUUUUUAUCAUCCUGGACAAAUAGUUCUCCAAUCUUUUCCUGAAGACCUGCAGCAUCCAGAACUUUGGGAGGCAAGCUGUUCUUUUUUUCAUCCUCACAAUGUUAAAGUUACUGUUUUCUUGAACUGGUAUAAUAUUCAUAAUUGUUUUCUUAUUCUCAUAUACUCAGAUAUUUGAGUCUCUUUUUUUCUUGCUGUUCAGCAUGAGCAAGAUAGGUUUUCUACAUUUUAUGCUACAAAUGUACGUCCUAAAUCAGAAUUCAUUUCCUUUUGAUUUUCCAUCUCUUUUUCCAUCCUGUUACUUUGUGAUCUAAUGCAGCUUACCUGAGCCAGACAUGCCAAAAUAGAGAUGGUUACCACUUGGGUACACUUGCUCAUCAUACGAUGUGAUUUUUCUUUUCCUUACCAAAAGUGGUGUUGCCUAUUUAACUUCAUUAUGUACAGUCUGCAGACCAAGCAAAUCAACAAUGAAAUAGGCUUAAGACAUAGUGCUUUGCUUUUUCAAUCUGUAUGUUUCUGAAAGUAGUACAGUAUCCUUUAUUUAUAGACAUUACAGACGUUCACAAAAUAUACAUGCUUUCUCAGUGUCUGUCUAUAUUUACCUCAGAAGCUGAAUGGAAAACCCACAAAGUUGAAAAGGAACCAAAUCACAUUGUCCUUCAGUGCAAAAUGUUCCUGCUUAUUUCUAGUAGUUUUUUUCUUUUCUGCUCCUGCCUCCUCUUUGAAGACAGAGAUCUAGUUUAGGAUGAAGGUUGUAGAGUAGUGCCUCUUUCUUCUUCCUUAUCCUUUUUACCAAAGAAAUGCUCUUUCAAGGACAGGCUUUUAUAUUUGCAAAAUAACUCAGAAACUACUCUCAUGAGAUCUACUUAGUCACCCAUGCUGCCAAUCUCCAAUGAAGUACUAAAAUGUUAAUCUGUAAUAAAUUGCUGCCAUUUCAGUGAUUGGCCUCACAUAA